UACGUAGGGUGCGAGCGUUGUCCGGAAUUACUGGGCGUAAAGAGCUCGUAGGUGGUUUGUCGCGUUGUUCGUGAAAACUCACAGCUUAACUGCGGGCGUGCGGGCGAUACGGGCAGACUGGAGUACUGCAGGGGAGACUGGAAUUCCUGGUGUAGCGGUGGAAUGCGCAGAUAUCAGGAGGAACACCGGUGGCGAAGGCGGGUCUCUGGGCAGUAACUGACGCUGAGAAGCGAAAGCGUGGGGAGCGAACAGG
rnacentral:rRNA from 1 species